ACACGCUACAGUCUACAUUCUGACAUAGGAUAUAGGCUUGAAUACUCCUAUAAAAGAAGGAAUAUUUAGGCAGUAAGCUACCAGUGCUUCUUAAGCCUGAUCCAAUGUAUUACUGCUGUUGAGGUCUGCCAACAUUCCGAGGGUGAGAUGAUUCCACUUCUUUCUGUUUCAUGGUGCUGUGAACCGGAUAGCAACACCCACUAGAGAACCAACAUUCUGGGUCAUCCACCACUGAUUCCUUGGCCCCACUUCUAAAGGUGCAGAGACAAUUGAUUCCAAGACUUCUGGCUGUAUAAUCUCCUUGGACUGUAUGGAAGCCUGGUCUUUCACCCACCGUACAGUGUCAGUUGAAUAAUGACAAGGAGGGGAGGCAGAGAACUUCAAGCACUUUAACGAGGAGCCAUUAAGUUAAUAGCCUUGGGGCUAACAAUAAACAAGCAAACGAGCGAGCAAUCAGGACUACAGCUGUUCCCAGGACAGGGCUGGUGUAUAUCAGUGCUUUAAAAAAUUCAUUUUUCCCUCUUAGCAUCUUGCAAAGAGAAGCUCCAUUUUUCCUCUGGAGCUCCUUUCUCUUUUUAGUAUUACUACCUUUUUAACUCUUGAAUUUGGAUUUUUAAUUAGACAUCAACGGUGAAUAGGAAAACUGGACUAUCACCUGAGAUCCUCACAGGUUGCCCAAUGUGAACCCCAGCUUCACCUCCUGUAAAUCCUGCCCAUUGUAAUCUUCAUUUACAGCUACAGCACUGGGAGACUGAAGAAGACCUGCCCUGGGAGUGAGUACCUGAGCAUUGUGCCCUUGCUUGCUUGCUCCUCUGGGUUGCUGUCUCUUAAGACAGCUGAAGUCCCUGGUAAGUGCUGCAAGGACUGGGACCCCUGCCUGACCCUGACUCCACAGAGAGGCUGCAGUCAAUCUUGCACCCUCUUGCAUCAGCUGCUGGCUGGGUCAGGGGACAUAAAACCAGGCUGCCUUUGGGUGGCACGUCUGCUGCCACUGGGGUUGCCACCGAAGGACAACACCAAAGAGGAUCACCCCUUGGGGAGUCCUGAGGACUACACAAGUCCCCACUGAGUGCUCCUUAAGAUAAAGUCUCCUUGAUUAAUCUUUCAAUCUAUACUCUGUUACUUGAAAACAUCAACUUGUGGAUCGGUCACUUUCCAGUGAAACAGCAGGGACAAAUCUGCACAAAGUAAGAACAGAUGGGGACCAUGCCUGCACUUGACUUUGAGAUGCUGCCAAGGAUAGCUUAGCAGUAAUGUCCAACUUCUCCCAGAGGUUUGCUCACCAAGAGAUGCUUUAUUCUGAAUUUCAGACACUGGGGAAAAGACAUUGAAAGACUAUCUCCAAAGCCUUCUGGUGGGAAAAAGGAGAGUCAUUCAUUACAAAAACCCACACUGCUAAAGUAGAGACAUCUGCCAGUGUAGAGUGUUGUAUUAUCCAUGAUUACACAUCUGACCCUCUGCAACCAGAAAAUUAAUAGUGCCGGUGAAACUGACUUUGUGUCACCAUUCUAACUGGUAUCAAAACAAAUGGCAUUCAAUAUGGAAUCGUAAUGUGAAAUGUGUUUUAUGUCCUGGAGAAUAUCCAGAAACAUUCAAAGGCAAUCACAAGCUUCAUUAUGAAGAGUCUGGAGCACAUUCAAAGGAGAGCUUCCAAAGCUGAUAGCAGGGGCCCCCCACCUGUGAGAGGACUUAUUCUGAAAGAGAUACACCAAUUAAUGCAAGAGAUAGCAAGAGAAAUAUGAAUGGUUAUAGAAGAGCUUUUCAGAUCAGAUCAAUCUUUACAGCAGAAGUGGUUAACCUUCUUGGCCCAAGGCCUCAUUUAUCCUUGGCCAAUGCUCUGGGAACUGCAUGCCACUGAGAGGUUCCAAUUUCAAGAUAAUAUUUUUGGAGGUUAAAGAAACUUGAUAUUUUUCAUAUUUACUCCUUAUCUGCUAAGGAUUCCAGCUUUAUGCAGAAGGCACUUCAUGAGCCAGAAUGCUAACUAAUUGGACAAUCUGAGCAUGUGCAUGACAGGCUGCCUCCCAGACUAAUAGAGCUGGCUUUCCAAGACCUUGCCUCCUCUACACGGAUGAUAUAGUUCUUCUAUCUCUAACACCUAUUGGUAUGAAAAGAUUGCUGAGGUCAUUUGCUUCCUUCUGUGAGAGGGAAGAAUUAGUAAUCAACUAUCAAAAAACAAAGGUCCUGAUCUUUACAAGGAAAAGAUCAAACCAUGUAUGGAGAAUCAACAACCACUGCAUAGAACAGGGCCUCUGUGAACUUCACUUUCCAGUUUCACCUCCUCAGGAUCAACGAGCUGUGACUCAAGUGGCUGCACCAACUGGCUGUUGCUCUCAGCAGCAACAACAACUGAAACAGGCUUGUCUGUAAUAAAUAAGAGAGAUUUAGAUAAUGCUCCUAUAUGGGUGAACUUCAGCUGUGAUGCCAUGUGAAGUGUGCCCCCAUCUUUUCCCCACCCUGCAAGAUCCCCCCAGUCAGAGUGGAAGUAAGCAGGCCAAUAGCACAAUUGAAAGAGAUCCUCUUUGCAUAGUUUUUGGUCACUGAAUAACCCUGCCUGAGCCAGUCGCUCAGCCUAACCUACUACCUCACAGGGUUAUUGUGAGAAUAAAAUGAAGAGGGGGGAGAGCCAUGUACAAUGAAUUGAGGUAGGAUUUGAAGGUGAUGAUUAUGAUGAUAAAAAAUAUGCAGCAUUUCAAAUUAAUUCUGCAUGAGAAACAUUCCAUGCCAAACGUGGAACACCAAGGAGGAGGUAUAAAAUGUAGGCAAAACUACUUUUGACAAAAUGCCAUUUAUCCUUUAUAUCUAUCUAUAUAUAAUUAGUAAUAAAGCUGAAUUAUGUAUGUAAAGCAUUUUUUCUCUUUCCCUUUUCUUUUUUAUUAUUUUAGUACUACUU